rnacentral:rRNA from 5 species
CUACCCUAAAGACGAGGAUAACCAUUGGAAACAGUGGCUAAGACUGGAUAGGAAGAUAAAAGGCAUCUUUUAUCUUUUAAAAGACCUAGUAAUAGGUAUGCUUUAGGAGGGGCUUGCGCCAUAUUAGUUAGUUGGUAGGGUAAUGGCCUACCAAGACGAUGAUGUGUAGCUGGACUGAGAGGUUGAACAGCCACAUUGGGACUGAGACACGGCCCAAACUCCUACGGGAGGCAGCAGUAGGGAAUUUUCGGCAAUGGAGGAAACUCUGACCGAGCAACGCCGCGUGAAUGACGAAGUACUUCGGUAUGUAAAGUUCUUUUAUCAAGGAAGAAAAGCAAAUGGCGAACCAUUUGUUUGCCGGUACUUGAUGAAUAAGCCCCGGCUAAUUAUGUGCCAGCAGCCGCGGUAAGACAUAAGGGGCAAGUGUUAUCCGGAAUUAUUGGGCGUAAAGGGUGCGUAGGCGGUCUAGUAAGUCAGUGGUGUAAUGGCAACGCUUAACGUUGUCCGGCUAUUGAAACUGCUAAACUUGAGUUAGAUAGAGGCGAGUGGAAUUCCAUGUGUAGCGGUAAAAUGCGUAAAUAUAUGGAGGAACACCAGAGGCGUAGGCGGCUCGCUGGGUCUUAACUGACGCUGAGGCACGAAAGCGUGGGGAGCAAACAGGAUUAGAUACCCUGGUAGUCCACGCCGUAAACGAUGAGUACUAAGUGUCGGGUUAAACCGGUACUGAAGUUAACACAUUAAGUACUCCGCCUGAGUAGUACGUACGCAAGUAUGAAACUUAAAGGAAUUGACGGGACUCCGCACAAGCGGUGGAUCAUGUUGUUUAAUUCGAAGAUACCCGAAAAACCUUACCAGGUCUUGACAUGUUUUUGCAAAAUGAUAGUAAUAUCGUGGAGGUUACCAGAAACACAGGUGGUGCAUGGUUGUCGUCAGCUCGUGUCGUGAGAUGUUAGGUUAAGUCCUAAAACGAGCGAAACCCUUAUCGUUAGUUGCCAGCACGUUAUGGUGGGGACUUUAACGAGACUGCCAAUGAUAAAUUGGAGGAAGGUGAGGAUCACGUCAAAUCAGCAUGCCCCUUAUGACCUGGGCUACAAACGUGAUACAAUGGCUGUUACAAAGGGUAGCUGAAACGCAAGUUCUUGGCCAAUCCCCAAAAACAGUCCCAGUCCGGAUUGAAGUCUGCAACUCGACUUCAUGAAGUUGGAAUCGCUAGUAAUCGCGAAUCAGCAUGUCGCGGUGAAUACGUUCUCGGGGUUUGUACACACCGCCCGUCAAACCACGAAAGUUGGCAAUACCCCAAAACGGUAGCCUAACUCGUUUAUUCGAGAGGGCGCCGUCUAAGGUAGGGUCGAUGAU